AGAGAAUAGUUUAAAUAAAAUAUUAAUUUUGGAGAUUAAUGAUAAAAGGUAUAUUUUUUCUCUGAA
rnacentral:tRNA from 1 species